CAUAUCUGAAUUAUAUUAUGUGCGAUAAUAAUACAUUAGAGAAUUAUUAAUUAUUUUAUCAAAAAAUUUGACAGAAGUAUAAGUUAAUAACUAAUUGAAAAACAGUAUGAGCAUGCGGGUGCAGCAGAGACUGACCGUCACUCAUAAGGUGACAAUUUGAUGACUUAAACAGCUGAGUUUUGGGGAAUUUAGAUGUUGGAUAAUUGGAUCAAUUAGUUAGGGAUUUGGGUGAGUUUUUUAAUUUAGAAAAAAUAGACAUUGACUAUAAUUAUUAGUUAUAUUUUUAUAUUUUACUAUAAAUUUUAUAAAAAAAUAAAUUUAUAAUUAAUUAAUUUUUUUUCAAGAAACUAACACGGGCUACAGCUCGAGUUAGCCUUUUUCAUAGCUUCGCCCCUGAUUAUGUGGAUUAAGAUCCAACUCCAUACCAUGAACUCUUAAAACUGGCCUACCAAUAUCAAACCUCUUUACUAAUCGCUCACAUAGUUUCUCAUUCAAGCAUCCACACUCUAUCUCAAUAUAUUUGCCGUAUGCAAUUGAAUUCAUGGCAUCUUUUUGUGCUUCGGCAAGAUUACUUGCCAUACCCAACAAUGUUCUACCACGCAUCUUUACACAUACUUCACAUUGUUAUAGUUUGUUUGACCACCUCUGUGCCUUCUACCAAUGUACUUGCGCUUAAUUUUAGCCAAUAGAUUCUUAAAGGUCCUUCUAAGUUCCUUCUACGUCUGCAUUUAUUUGUGUUACGCUUAGUUAUGUAUCAAUUUACAAAUUUUUCUUGUACUAUAUAUUCAACAAACAAAUAUUUAUAACAUCAAAUGCUCACCUCAUUUGUAAUACAAGCACUUGUGGCACUUGCCUUUAUCUUCUGCACUACUUCUCCACUACAUUUAUCUCAAUAUUCUAUUUUGAUAGCCUGUUAAAUAUUUUGCUUUGCUAAUAUUUUAUCCAUUUAUUUCUUCAUUGCUUCAUCUUUUUUAAGAUAAUUGGCAUUUAAUUUCAAAAGGCAUAAAAUCUCUCAUUUUUAAUUGUUGAGUUGUGUCCCACAUUGGCUAGUAAAAAGGAGAUACUUGGGUUUAUAAGGCGGUAGGUCACUCAAAAUGCUAAUCUUUUGGUUAGAUACCUAGAAAUCUUAUGUUAAAUUCCCCCAACAAUUGGUAUCAGAACAAGACCCUAAUAGCCGGAAUGUGGUGAUAGAACAACUCAGGUGUGUUGGAUAAAAGGAUUGGGGUUCAUCAAUGGUUUUGUCCGGGGGGGAGGGGGUUGUUGAGUUUUAUCCCACAUUGACUAAUAAAGAAGAAAUAUUUGGGUUUAUAAGGAGGUAGGUUAAUCCACUCAAAAGGCUAGUCUUUUUUGUUGAAUACCUAGAAAUCUUAUGCUAAGUCCCCUCAACUUAACAAUUAUCAAAAUAAACUACCAUUUACACAAAUUCCAUAAACAUCCAAAGUCAAAUCGAUAAUUUUUUAAAAUACUUAAAACUUAAUACCAAAAUUUUACUAAGAGUAUGACAAAAAACUAUAACUACUUGUUACUUCUAUCUUCCCACCUGUAUUGGUUCCACAUUUUGCUAGACCAUAUUUUCUUCAAAAUUAUGAGCCUUCUGCUUUAGAUUUGGUGCUACCAUUAUGUCAUCAUCAAUAUUGUAUCACAUAUGAAUCUUUUAUAUUUCUUUUUCAUUUCUUUCCAGCUACAACCCUUUUCUAUUUUCCAUGGAUUAACUUCAAACUAUGUAACUACAUUGCUUUAUAGCUUCACCUCUAACAAUUACCCCUUUUUGUUUCUUUAUAAAUCUAGGCUUUCAUUUUCAUACACUAGUUUCCAACUAACUAUCUAAUUUUACAAUUUUUAUCUAUUGCACUUGCCCUUCUAUGCUCUCUCAAUCAUUCUACACUAUCAUCUCCUAAAAUUUUCUACUCAACACCUAAUGAAUUUACCUAAAUAUAUUAUCUAUUUUUUAUUUUCAACCUAAAUGAAAGACCAUAUUUAUUGCAUUUAAUUUUUUUCACCACUUUAAGAUAAUACCCUGACCAUAUUUUAUUUUUCAACCUACAACAUCUGGUGGCUAGAAAACUGAGACACAGAGCAGCUUGCUAAAUAUGUUUUGAGUGUUCUCUUUUCCUUAUUUUAGAUAUUCGGAAGGAGUUCAAGCUAAGUAUGUUUGAGUGAAAUAUUGAAGGGAUCCGUGGUAAUCAUUAUGAGUCACGGUCAUAAGCUUACAAGGCUUUGAGGCAAGGAUACUAUUGGCCAACGAUGAAUGAGAAUACAAAGUAGAUGGUUAGAAGUUGUGACAAGUGCCAGAGGUUUGCUAAAGUAAGACAUGUGCCAUCAGAUAAGGUAACUAUAAUAUCUUCACCAUAGCCACUUGCUAUUUGAGAAGUUGACCUCAAAGGCCCAAUGCCAACCGGUAGAGGACAAGCCAAGUACAUGAUAGUAACUAUGAAUUACUUCAUCAAAUAGGCUGAAUUUGAGCCUCUUUCCACCAUCACCAAGAGGAAGACUACUGAGUUUGUAUAGAGGUUUAUAAUUUACAGAUUCAACAUUCCUAACACUAUAGUGAGUUAUAAUAAGAAGCAGUUUAACAAAAAGAAUUUGUAACAGUUUUGCUCAGAGAUGGGGAUAACUAAUACGUUUCCUUCACUUGCUUACCCUCAAUCUAAUGACCAAGUUGAGGUUGUCAACAAAAUUAUCAAGGGGGGUCUUAAAGAAAAAGCGUGAGGAAAGGAAGGGAGGGGAGCUUAAGUAGAUGAGUGUUGUAUGAUUUCUAAUGCUAUCAGUGCCAAUGUGCAAGUGUACACAAUAAGUAGUAUAAUGAUAAGUAUUCAAGAUCGUCUCCACAUGGAUUAAUGUUAUAGUAAGUGUACACAAUAUGUCAGUGCACUUUUUAAAUUAAUUAUAAAAGAACAAUUGAUAAAAUUGAUUUCCUAAAGUUAACGAGACAAUAAAUAAAAUGUAAUUAAAAGGAAUUUAAACUUAAACACAAGAUAUUAAUUAAUGAGAAUGAAGUAAUUGAGUGAUUAAACUCACUUAAUGGUUUUGAUUAUAUUCCUAAUUUUUUGUUCGGUUGCUACAACAUCUGUUACAGCACGGGACAAAAUCCUUAUGUACCAUCAGUUGUCGCUUGUUAGAUAUCUUAUAUCUUGAUGCAACUUAACAAUGACCAAUUCUUAUGCUAACAUAAGAUAUAGCAUUACACGCUUAAGUUCUAAUUACCCUACAAGGUGAAUCCUUAUGUCUAGUUCAUCCCAAAUUUUAGAUUAAGCAUGACCAUUUUCGAAUCAAGUUAAACUCAACUAAAGAAACCCAAUUUAAAAUGAAGUAUUGUUUUGAUAUGUUCCACUAAGUCAGGCGUUUUUUAGGCUCUUUCUUAGUUAGCAUCACUAAAUGGGUGGUCAAUCGAAAUAGAGAAUUAAAAUAAGUAUUAUCAAAACAACAUGCUAUAGCAAACAUGCAGCAACACAAAAUAUCAGUCAAUUAACCAUCAAGAUUGUUUUAUCACCUAACCACACGUAAUUUUAGUUCAUAAUUUGUGAGAAACAAAAACCAAAAUAGAUUCAGCCUUCAAACAAAUCAUCAUAACAAGAUAGAAACAAGAGAGCAAGAAUAAGAGUUGAAUCUGCUCAUCCUUAUGAGUCCUCUUGAUGUUCUUCUUGAAUCUGUUGUUGUCGUCCUCAAAUCUCUCUCUUGAUCUUUGUUUUCUCUUGUGUUGUUUCUUAAUUCCUUAUCUCUAAUGACAGCUCCCUUUUUUGUUGUAAUGUGCUCAUUUUUAAAAGUCGAAAUUAGGGUUACCAAAAAAGUAUGACAGUGUAUCUCUUAUUUUUGGAAACUUUAUAUUGCAAUCUUCUAUCUAACGCGUGAAAUCUCGUUUAUCGUUGCUCCAAUUGGUACUACAGUAACAGUCCUACACAUAUUGCUCCAGCAUCUUCAUUAUUCUAGACCUGAUUUAAUUUCAUUGCAUCCAAGUUCUUUUGUAACUUUGCAAACUUGCUACUGCAAUAUUCCAUCCAUGAAAUUUGAGUUUCUUAAUCACCUACAAUUAUGCACAUAAUCAGAGCAUAUAAUAAUCUAAAAACACAUGAAUUUUAUUGAAAUUAAACUUAAAUGACUACUCAUGCAAAAUGUAACUAAAAUGCAACGAAAACAUAUCAUUUACUCUAUAAGUAAUGUUGAUUUAAGUCUAAAAACACCAUGAUAACUCUCAUUUCAUAGAGUUAUCAAUGAGCUGCCAAGUGUCUUAUGUGCUUAUAAAAAAACUCAUAAUAUUACCACAAGAGAAAUGCCUUUUGCUCUUGCCUUCGAGGUAGACGCAGUUAUCCUCACUGAGAUCAAAAUUCUUUCUCAUAGAACAUCUAACUUCAAUGAAGAGGGGAAUAUCUCCUUUAUUGCUACUAACUAGACUUAUUUAUAAAUAAAAAAGCAAAAGAAUGUUGACAUAAUAUACUUAUAAUAUUGAUUUUGAUGAUAACAAACCAUAUGUGUCAUAGGUUAAAAAUGUUGGAGUCUUUAAAAUUGAAUGAAAUUCUUAGGCCGUAUAGUGUUUUAGGACAAAAUUGAGGUUCUAGAAAUAAACGGAUAACCGUUAACUUUGAAAUGGUUAACCGAUAACUUAAGGUUACAUUUUGAUUUAUUUUGUAUGAUAACAGAUAACUGAUAAUAUGCAAACGACAAGUCAACUUCGAACAAGUGAGCUUUUGGAAUUAAACGGCAAAUCGUUACAUGAAAAUAGUAAGCAAUCUUUUAUCAAUGAACUCUCUAGAAAUAAAUGGCAAACCAUAAUGAGAAAACGGCAAGCCAACUUCAAUCAGUGAAUUCUCUGGGAUUAAAUGGUAAACUAAAAAUUCCAAACGACGAUCUGACAAUUUAAAUUUUAGCAUAACGGUUGCUUUGGCACAAGUCAGAAUGACAAACCGAUUGAGGUUAAUGGUGAUUCAAUAAUUUCCAAGAAGUCAACAACGGUUACUUUUCUUCUCCAAUUAUAAAGGGUCAAUCAAAUUCAAAUUUAGGUGACAUUUAGUUCAAGCAUGUUUAUUCAUUCAUCAAAUUGCACUUUGAGCAUUCAUUUGUAAAUACAUAUAUUGUUUGAGAGAAAAUUUAUGUGAUCUUCAUUUUAAUAUUAAAAUUGAGUGAUUGUAAGUAUGGGAAACACUUUAGAAAAGGGGUGAGAAAUCAUCUCAAAUUGCAAAGGUUUUAUUAACACCUUGGAAGUUAAUUAUAAGCAUCUUGUAGCCUUGGGUUAUAAAGGCUUGGAUAGUGGAAUCCUCAACCUCGAUUAGCUUAGAUGCGUGGACGUAAGUGAAGUUUGCCGAACCACGUAAAAACAUUGUGUUUGCUCUCUUAUCUCUUAUCUCUUUCAAUUUAUUUAUUCUUAAAUUUAAUAUUGUUGAAAAUCUUAAGGAAUUAGUUUAACUUGUUGUAUACUUCUAUUUUUUUCAAAAAGCCCAAUUGACCCCCCUUUUAGGUUACUUAGCUAGAAUUUCAUUUGGUAUUAGAGCAAGGUUCUAUUGUUAGGACUUAACUAUCUAGAGUAUAAGAUUCAUAGCACCCCAAAAUGAGUCUACCUUUAGAGAAGGACGGUCCACCAUUAGACCACCAUUGUUUUUAUGGAAAUGAUUACCUAUACUAGAAAACUAUUAUGAGAAUUUAUUUACAGGCUUUAGAUUGUGAAAUAUAGGAAAUCGUUAGUGAUGGUCCAUUCAUGCCAACUAUUAAAAAUAAAGAAAGAGAAGAAAUUCCAAAAUAUUCAAAUGAAUGGGGUAAGGUGGAAAAGAAGAAGACCUCUGUAAGCUUUAAAGCCAUGAAUGCCCUGUUUUAUGAUUAGAUAAGAGGGAGUUUCAUAGAGUUUCAGGUCAUUCCAAUGCACAUGAAAUUUAGAGGAAGUUAAAAGUUGUUUAUAAAGGAACAAACUAAGUUAAAGAGUCUAAAAUUAGUACAUAUGUCAGGCAAUAUGAAUCGUUCCAAAUGGAACAAAAUAAAAGUGUGCAUUCCAUGUAUACUAGAUUUACGGACAUAGUAAAUACUCUAAGAGUCCUAGGGAAAACUUUUUUAAAUAGUGAAAAGUUAAAAAAAAAAAUCAUUAGGUCUUUGUCAAAAGAAUAGAGACCUAAGAGAACCAUCAUUAAGAAUUUCAAAUAUUUAAAUACCUUAUCUAUUGAUGAUUUAAUUGGCUCACUUAGUUUCUAUAAAGAGGAUUUAGCAGUUGAAAGAGGUGAUGAAGUUAAAAAGAAGAAGAGUGUUGACCUUGAAAGCUUCAAGAUCGGAAAGUGACAAAGAAAGCGUAAUCGAAGAUGAUGGUAUGGCUAUGAUAGCCAGAAAAUGUAGGAAGUUUCUCAAGAAAUCCAGUGUGCAAAGUAAGUUUAGGAACUUCAACAACCGAAAGAAAAAAAAAAGAAGCAAUUAUAUUGUUAAAAAAUGCAUAUUUAUAAAGGAGAAAACCGUCAUUUGACAUUUCAAAUCUUACUAAUAACCCUUACUUUUAUGUAUUUAACCUUCUUGUGAUUUAAUUACAUGUGUUUUAUUUUAAUUAAGUAUUUUAUGUAUUUUAGGGGCAUUAUAGUCAUUUCAUAAUAAAGGAGAGAUCAGACGGCAAAACGGACAUCACUUUUGAACUCAGGACGGUCGAAAACCUUAGGAGGAGCAUAAAAGGAAAAAUGGCACUAUUCACAUGUACGGUACUAUUCACGUGUACGGUACUGUCUACGUUACUGUUCACGACACUGUUCAUAUAAACGGAUCGAUGAUGUGGCAUUGACUGAUGAGGUGUCACGAUCCUGUUGGGCUAAAAUUCUUAUGUACUGUUGAUGGUGACGUGGCAGCAUAUCAGUGGACGAAAAAUCUCGCGUACGGUACAUGCAUCACACAGGAUUAUUUUCAACCAAACCGCGUUACUGUUCAUCCGGGUCAAACCGUGUUACUGUUCAUCCACGUGGUCAAACCGCGUACUGUUGACUGAUGACGUGGCGCAAUCCUGAGUGUCCAAACUGUUUUUAAUCCGAUGGCCAUGAUUUACUCCAUGUAUCUAAAAAAAGGGGGCCUCUCCCCCCUAAUUUGAUACCUCUGAAUCCAUUUUUGGACUCCAUUUUCUGUAAUUCUCUCUCCAUCUUGUAUUUUCUUCAUAUUUUAAUAAAUUCCCAUUUUGCCCCUAGUUCAAUUAUGAGUGGCUAAUUUUCUUUCAAGCUUGGGUUGAAGGUGAAGUCUCAACAUGUGUCAUAGGCUUAAUUUGGUAAAUUUAUUUUCUCUUCCCCUCUAGUUUUUGUGGAUGUUUUGACUUCUCGUCGACAAAUAAUACUAAUCUUGUCUAGUACCGCCUUGGUUUCACCAGCCCUCUAGUACAAGGUUAUUAUUAUUUGGCACGAUAAGCCCUUAGCUCCAUAUUGAUUAGAGCGUGAUUCAUGAGGUAUGGAUUCCCACCUCAUGAUUUAAUUGGCAUUAAUACGGAUUAUUUAGCCCAUGAUGCAUGUUGAUAGGGAUCCAGAUACCCAAGUACGUCAUCUCAAUAGAAUUCUCUUCAAUUUAUUCUUGUCAUUUCAAUUCCAAUUUUAGAAUUUAUUCUCGCCAUUUUAAUUUAAUUUUUAGCAUAUUCCAAAUUAUUUCCACCACAAAUCCAACCAUCCAUUUACAAAACUAAUUCUACACAUAAUUAAAAUCCACCUCCUCGUGGGAUUGGCACUCGUUACCAUUAGUCUAUACUACAAUAGAUUCGUGCGCGUGCGAGUACAUUAAAAUUUGCACAACAAGUUUUUGACGCCGUUGUUGGGGAGGUAAGUAAUUUUAAUUCAUAGAAUUAAGUUUUGUGAAUAAUUUCUUUUAUUUGUUUCCUUGUAUUUUUUUUAUUAAAAAAAAAGAAAAAGAAAAAAAAGUGAAUCUACAUUUAAAGGUUAGUAUUUCUUUUCUUUUUCUCUUCUUUAAAAUUAUGUAAUUUAAUUUCAAUUUAUUUUUCUUUGAAAUUUUUUUUUGUUUAUCUUAUUAAUUUAUUUUUAGUUAAUUUAUUUCACGUAUUUAUUUUUGUGUAUUUUUAUAGAAAGGUUGUAAUAGCGCAAUAAGGUUAGUAUCGUAAUUUCUCCCUCUUUUUUAUUUUUAUUUGUUUUGCAUGCAUGGUCGUAGGUCAUUAUUACCUAAUCUUGAACCUAUAGAUCUUGAAUUAGAAAAAACACUUCGCACACACAGGCACAUUAAAAAUAAAUUUGGAAUGGAUUUACAAGCACCACAGGGAGGCCAUUUAAGGACUAUUUUAGUCCCUUAGCUAAUUUGAGCACAUCAUGCAUAAGAUACCCAAAUGUAGCUCCUAGGAGUUUUGAACUAAAACCUAGUGUGCUAAAUUGUCUCCCAACAUUCUAUGGCCUAGAAAAUGAGGAUCCAUAUAAUCAUCUGAAUGAUUUUCAUGCCAUUUGUCAAACUUUUAAAUAUGAAAAUUUUUCAGACGAUGAUGUUAAACUUAGACUAUUCCCAUUUUCUUUAAAGGAUAGAGCUCGUUCAUGGUUAAAUACUUUACCUGCUAAUAGCAUUUAAUCAUGGGCACAAAUGGUAACGAAAUUUUUGAAUAAAUAUUUUCCAGUGCAUAAAACCAAUGCUAUUCGUAGGGAAAUUUCAGAGUUUACACAGAGAGAAGACGAGCAGUUUUUCGAAACAUGGGAGCGAUUCAAUGGGCUACUCAUGGGUACGAGAAAUGGCACCAAUGCCAAUACUUUUUGGAGGGAUUAUUGCCGAAUGUGCAAGAAUGGCUAAUGGCAAUAAGUGGAGGAGAGCUAAUGUCAAAAAGUGCAUCAGAGAUUUGGGAAUUCUUCCAGCGACAAGCAGAUAAUUCCCAACAACGGAGUCGAUCACUCAGGAAUACUAGAAGAAUUAAAGGAGUGAAUGAGGUUCAAAUUGGUGAAUCAACUUCGGGAAUCAAAGAAGUCAAGGAGAUGGUUGAAGGUCUUGCUCGACAAAUAGCAUCGUUAUCAACUGCUAAAUCAACAGAACCACAUGACCAUGACUCAUACUCAGAUCAAGCCAAUGCCAUAAGUGUAAUGAGAAAGGCAUCAAAUUACAACCCAUACUCCAACACAUAUAACCCUAGAUGGAGAGACCACCCCAAUUUUUCAUGGUCUCAAGGAUUCCAACAGAAUGGACCAGCAGCUCCAGCUCCACCAAUUCCUCAAAAUCCUCAAGCCUCUCAGCCCCCAUUUAGACCAUACAAUCAGAACCAGAACUACUCUCAACCCAGACCAUGGGAGGAUGCAUUCCAAAAUUUCAAGAAUGUUACUCACUCCACGAUUGAGCAACAGAAUCGCACCAUUGAUGGACUACGAAAUGAGUUGAGAGCAGGCUUCAAUUCACAAGCUCAAUCAGUUUCAAGCCUCGAGAAGAUGGUGGGACAACUUGCUUCUUCAGUUCAGACCUUGGCAAUGACUGUUGAGAAAGGCAAGUUUCGAAGUCAACCAGUGCCUAACCCUAAAGGAGUACAUGAAGCAAGUACUAGUUCACCACAGCAGCAUGGAGAGGUCAAAGCAGUCAUGACCUUGAGAAAAGGAAAAGAAGUCAACAACAAAGUGGAGAUGCCGGUGACAAAAGAAAAUCAAGUUGUACCUGUGAAUGUUGAGGACUCACCACUGGAGGAAAAAGAAGAAACCAACCCACGAGAAUAUGUUCAUAAAGCUCCAUUUCCUCAGAGGUUAGCAAAAGGCAAAAAGGGAAAAUCCACAGGUGAGAUUCUCGAAAUCUUCAAACAGGUAAGUGUUAACAUCCCUUUACUUGAUGCUAUUAAACAAGUUCCAUCUUAUGCCAAGUUUCUUAAAGACCUUUGUACUAAAAAGAGAAAUAUGCAUGUUCAAAAGAAGGCAUUUUUAACAGAAAACGUUAGUUCUAUACUCCAACAUAAAAUUCCUUUAAAAUGCAAAGACCCAGGCUCUCCCACUAUCUCAUGUAGUAUAGGGAACCACACAAUUGAGAAUGCUUUGUUGGAUUUAGGAGCUAGUGUAAAUCUGUUGCCUUACUCAGUAUUUUUUAAACUUGGACUGAGAGAAUUACACCUAACUCCAGUGGUGUUACAACUCGCAGAUCGGUCCACGAAAAUACCUCGUGGUAUUGUGGAGGACGUGCUUAUCCAGGUAGACAAGUUUUAUUUUCCUGUUGAUUUCAUUGUAAUUGACACUCAACCAAUACAGGAUUCGAGAAAGCAUAUCCCCAUUAUUCUAGGCCGACCUUUCUUGGCAACUGCGGAUGCUCACAUUCAAUGCAGGACUGGAAAUAUAUAGUUGUCCUUCGGCAACAUGACUAUGGAGCUGAACAUCUUCAACAUUGCCAAACAACCUCAUAAUGCAGAUAAUGGAAUUGUUGAUGUGGAUUUAAUUGAAGCAUUAAUUGAUGAUACUUUUGUUUCAAACCUUAGUGAUGAUCCUUUACAAACAUGUUUAACUCACUUUGGUUUGGAUUUUGAUAUUGACAGAUCGGUCGAUGAGGUCAACGCCCUGUUUGACUCAGCACCAUCUAUGGACACUAAUAAAUGGAAGUCAAGAGUUGAGCAACUAGCACCAUCAGAAAAGAAACUCAUCCCAUCAUCAGAAUCACCACCGAAACUCGAGCUCAAACCAUUACCCAACACUCUGGAAUAUGCAUUUUUGGGAGAAGAAAGUACUCUACCGGUAAUCAUCUCAUCAUCCCUAAAUGACGAACAAAAAGGUAAGUUGUUGGAUGUUUUAAAAGAGCACAAAGGAGCAUUAUGAUGGACCAUAGCAGACAUAAAAGGUAUAAAUCCAGUAGACUGCAUGCAUUACAUUCACCUUGAUGAAAAUGCUAAAUCUACUAGGGAAAUGCAACAUCGGUUAAAUCCUAAUAUGAAAGAAGUUGUUAGAACAGAAGUACUUAAGCUAUUAGAUGCAGGUAUCAUUUACCCACUUUCUGAUAGUUCAUGGGUCAGUCCUGUACAAGUUGUCCCCAAAAAGUCAGGAGUCACAGUAGUUACCAAUGCUGAUAAUGAAUUGAUAUCCACUAGAGUAACUACAGGAUGGCGUGUAUGCAUUGAUUAUAGAAAGUUGAAUUCUGUCACACGUAAAGACCAUUUUCCUUUACCAUUUAUUGAUCAAAUGCUUGAUAGAUUAGCAGGCCAUGAAUUUUAUUACUUUCUAGAUGGCUACUCAGGAUAUAAUCAGAUUCCCAUAGCACCAAAAGAUCAGGAGAAAACUACUUUCACUUGCACUUUUGGCACAUUUGCAUAUAGGAGAAUGCCAUUUGGAUUAUGUAAUGCACCUGCUACAUUUCAACGAUGCAUGUUGAGCAUUUUUUCUGAUAUGGUUGAACGAUUCCUUGAAGUCUUUAUGGAUGACUUUUCUGUCUUUGGUGAUUCGUUUGAUCAAUGUUUACAUCAUCUAACACUAGUUCUGCAGAGAUGUAUCGAGAAGAACUUGGUCUUAAAUUGGGAGAAAUGCCAUUUUAUGGUAAAACAAUGUAUUGUUCUCGGUCACAUCAUUUCGAGCAAAGGUAUUGAGGUUGACAAAGCCAAGGUGGAUCUCAUUUCUAAUCUUCCUCCACCCAAAACAGUCAGAGAAGUAAGAUCUUUCCUUGGGCAUGCUGGUUUAUAUAGACGUUUCAUUAAAGAUUUUAGCAAAGUUUCUAGACCCUUAUGCAAUUUACUUGCUAAGGAUGUACCUUUUAUCUUUAAUGAUUCAUGUCUUGUGGCUUUUGAAAAAUUAAAGCAGUUGUUGACAUCAUCACCCAUCAUUUAGGCCCCGAACUGGAGCUUACCAUUUGAACUCAUGUGUGAUGCAUCUGAUUAUGCGGUAGGAGCAGUAUUAGGACAAAGAGUUGAUCGAAUUCCCCAUGUUAUUUAUUAUGCUAGUAUGACAUUGAAUGAUGCACAGUUGAACUAUUUAACUACUGAAAAAUAAAUGCUAGCAGUAGUGUUUGCAUUGGAAAAAUUUCGAUCUUAUCUCAUUAGUUGUAAAAUAAUUAUAUUUACAAAUAAUGCUGCUCUUAAAUAUCUUCUCACAAAGAAAGAUACAAAAGCUAGACUAAUUCGUUGGGUGUUACUUUUGCAGGAAUUUGACUUGGAAUUCAAAGAUAAGAAAGGGACAAAAAAUGUUGUGGCGGACCACCUCUCUCGUCUCCAUUUUGACACAAUUACAGAGCCAUUAAUAUUAAAUGAGUCAUUUCCAAAUGAACAAUUAAUGAGUGCGGAAGUGUUGCCUUGGUAUGCUGAUAUAGUUAAUUAUCUUGUUACAGGUAAACUUCCAGAGCAUUGGACCAAGCAAGACAAGGUUAAAUUCUUUGCAGAAAUAAAGAAUUUCUUUUGGGAUGACCCAUAUUUAUUCAAGUAUUGUGCAGACCAAAUUGUUAGACGAUGUGUCCCAGAAAGUGAAAUUCAGAAUAUCCUUUCAUUCUGCCAUGAACAAGCUUGUGGGGGCCAUUUCAGUGCUAAGAAAACUACGACUAAAGUUUUACAAUAUGGUUUUUAUUGGCUAACUAUAUUUCGAGAUGCUUACACUUUCUGUUCUUUAUGUGAUAGGUGUCAACGAAUGAGGAGCAUUACGCGAAGGAACAUGAUGCCACUAAAUCCAAUUUUAGUGGUUGAGAUUUUUGACGUAUGGGGUAUCGACUUCAUGGGACCCUUUCCCCCAUCUUUUGGUCAUCAAUACAUAUUGGUUGCUGUUGACUAUGCAUCAAAAUAGGUAGAAGCAAUUCCAUGUAGGACCAAUGAUCACAAGGUGGUGAUAGCAUUUUUGAAAAGCAACAUUGUUUCACGCUUUGGAUUCCCUCGAGCAAUAAUCAGUGAUGGUGGUGCCCACUUUUGUAACAAAGCAUUCAAAGCACUUUUGACAAAGUAUUCAAUCACACACAAAGUGGCGACCCCGUAUCAUCCGCAAACCAGUGGCCAAGUUGAGAUCUCCAAUCGAGAAAUAAAGCACAUAUUAGAAAAGACGGUGAGGCCGGACAAAAAAGAUUGGUCAUUAAGACUUGAUGAUGCAUUAUGGGCAUAUAGAACGGCUUUCAAGACCCCGAUUGGGAUGUCACCCUACAGGUUAGUGUAUAGAAAAGCUUGCCACCUACCUGUGGAACUCGAGCAUCGUGCGUAUUGGGCCAUCAAGAAAUUCAACUUUGACAUGCAGCAAACCAGCUCAGAAAGAAGAUUACAACUGGCAAAACUUGAAGAAAUUCGCAAUGACACAUAUGAAAAUGCCAAGAUUUACAAGCAACGAAUGAAAGUCUUCCAUGACAAGCAAAUUAUGAGAAAAUCGUUCACUCCAGGUCAGAAAGUGCUUUUAUUCAAUUCUCGCUUGCACCUAUUCCCAGGUAAGUUACGCUCUCAUUGGUCUGGCCCAUUUAUUGUUCAUACUGUUUUUCCACAUGGGGCAAUUGAAAUUAAGGACCCAAAGAACGGUGUCACGUUUAAAGUUAAUGGUCAAAGAUUAAAGCCAUAUCUAGAGUACCAACCACAUGGAGAAGACACCGAAAUAAAUUUGAGUGACCCACCAGAUUUGAAUUGAUUUUUUUUUUCGUGAUUUGAUUUUUUUUCUUUCUUUAUAUUAUUCUUUUGCUAAUUGAAAUUAUUUUUGCAUAAGUGUGUUUGUUUAACUAUUAAGUUUUCUCUUAUCAUUUUUAAUCAUGAGUACCUUACGUAGACCGUUCCUCCUGAACAUUCUUAAACCACUUCAACGUGUCAAAACUCAUCUCAAAAGGCAGAUUCAAUUUUGUAAAACACAUCGCAUUUGGGCUCUACAACCACCAGAGUUAGUAGCCUAUAUUGAGGGUCUAGAAAGCCAACUCAGAGAUAUUGAGAGAAGUGUUUACGACAUCCAGUUGGAGCUUGAGGUCAAUUCAAUAAGAGGACAAUUUUAAUUUUCUUUGUGUGUUUUAAUUUGUUUUUCUGUUUGUGUGCUUUAGUUUGUUACCUCGGUGAAGUGGCGGAUAACGGUACUCCGUGACAAUCAAGUCGGUUACUUCAGUUUCCCAUAAUAACUGAUAUUCUGAGGCGAAAGUAUGGACAGAAACGAGAUUCUAGUGAAGCUUUACAAGCGAUUCCCUUCACUUCCUCAGAAUGCCCUCCUUACGAUCUAUAAAGCUCGGUCCGAACGCAUGCGAUUACUCAUGAGGAAUAACAUACCUGCUGACAUCCGUUGGUUAAUCGAGGCUAAAGUACGAUCGGCAGGUGAGUUACCUCCAAAAUUUAUUGCAUACAUGCCUGGUUGUGGUAAAGGAAAUUAUGCAAGAAAACGACGAGCUCGAAGAAUUUCUGUUGCUUGUCAUAAGUGUGCCAGAAUGAGUUGCAAUAAAAACCCAUGUUCUUUAGGAAUGAUGUCUGAUAACAGGGAAGAUAAGAUUCAAUUCAUUAGGGAUGGCUUGAAUAAGGAGUCAUUGGAUGAUAUCCUUUUGUCUCUUGAAAUGCAUCCCAGUGGAUAUGUGUAAGGAGCGAUUCUCCAGUUAUGGCCAUUAUUCCAGAAAGAGCAUGCACGAUAUAGUCUCGGGAAUCUGCUAUAAACGACUCUGUUUGCCAGUUUAUAAGAAAACUGGAUAGGAAGCCUAUCCUCGACCCAUAGAAGGCGUUCAAGCCGUUUCUGGACGUAAAACCAGAAGAAGAUGUGAGCCACAGUUGCAACUACCUGUAAAUAUCCUUUCACUUUACUGUUAUUUUAUUUCACUAUUAUUUUAUUGUGUGCAUUAUUGUCUUUAAUAAUUUUAUUACUGUUUGCUUUUUCCUUAUUACAGUUUGCUUUUUCCCUUUUACUGUUUCCUUUUUGACUAGUGAGCCAUGUGCUUUACGCGUUAUUUGACACUGACAUGUUACCUCAUACACAACUGUGACCCACUGUCACCAAGACUCUUAAAUGUGAUUUUUUUGUCAAGCACUCACAAAUUAUUUUUUUGAGAAGUAUCACAAUGACAGCUACUCCAAAUAGACAAUUAAAGAACAUUUGUGUGCUUUUUGGAUUUACCUAUGGCAAACAUAAAGAGUUCGUUGAGGCAGCCAUAGAUCUUGGUCGAAGCAUAGCAGAGAGAAAAUUACACUUGGUGUAUGGAGGAGGUAACCGAGGGUUAUCAAAAAUGGUCUCAGAAGCAGCUUUUAUCAGAGGAAGCCAAGUGUUAGGCAUCAUCCCAAGAGUCCUAAAACCAUUAGGCAGUUCGUCUGACUCAUCAACUGGAGAAGAGUUAGUCAUCUCAGGUAUGCAAGAAAGAAUAACUCAAAUGCUUAAUCAUGCUGAUGCUUUUAUUUUCCUUCCAGGAGAUCUUGCAACACUAGAGGCACUUAUCACACUAGCAUCUUCGGCCCAUCUGCACAUCCACCAGAAACCCAUCGGUUUAUUAAAUGUCAAUAACUUAUAUGAUGGCUUUAUCGCAUUUCUUAACCAUGCAAUAAAAAACUAUUUCAUUCCCUCUAAUGCGAAAAAACUCUUUAUUUGUGCUCACACUGCUAAUGAGCUACUUGAUCUGUUACAAGCUUAUAGACCGGAGCCAGACCCCUGGACCUUUGUGUUGGAGCGUCCAAAUAAUGAUGGUAACAGUAGCCGCAGUAAGAAGUACAAAUUAGAUUUAACUCUCCGCCUAUAAAUAUUUUCUUCUGUGUUGCACCACCCAGGUGAUGUCUUCUAAACUCUACUUCUUUCCUUUAAAACAUUGAGGUGAUGUCUUCUAAACUCUACUUCUUUCCUUUAAAACAUUGAGGACAAUGUUUCGUUCUGGUUGGGGGGAGGGAAUAGUCGCCAAAUGUGGAAUUUUGGUUAAGUUUUUACUAAUUUUUUAUUGUAGAAACUAACUGUUGCUAACUUUUUGUGUUGAAGAUGGCUGAAUAUGGAGUAUAGUUACUCUAGAAACGCAUCUUUAUUGUUUAAAAAAAAAAAACCAAAUAAAAUAAAAAAAAAACAAAAAAAAAUCUUUUUCUUUAUUAAGUUUUGAUGUUCAUUUUUCUUCUUCUUUUUAUUUUCUCCUCUAUAAAUAUACAUUUUCCAACUUUUGAGUCGAAGAUGGCUGAAUAUGGAGUGUAGUGCCUCUAGAAACGCAUCUUCUUAAAAAAAAUGAUUUUCUUUUUCUAUCAUUUUAAGUGUAACUUUUCUAAUUAGUUUUUCUGCAUCAUAUUCACAUUUCUGCAUGCAUAUUUUCCUUUCAUGCUUAGAAUAGGUUGGGGGGUAGAAUGUUGUUUAAAAAAAUAAUAAUAAUAAUUUGUGUGAUUUGUUUUAACAUUGGAUGACAUGAUUAAUUUCAAAUUUUAGUAUUUGUAUUAUCUUUGGUCUUAAGUGAUGUUACGCUAUGUUUGCUACUUUACAUGUUGAUGUCGGAGACAAAUAUGAGUUGCUUGAAGGAAUGAACAUGUCAUAAAUAAGUGCCAAGUGAGUUGUUGAGCCUAUCAUUUUCUUGGAGAGUAACCUUUUUGCCCAUUCUCUAUACAGCUUAGCAGUUUAUUAUUUUAUACACGAUUUCUAGAUUUCUUUUGAGUUAACCCUUAAAAAAAAUGGUAAAAUAAAAAAAAAGAAAAAGAAAAAGAAAAAAAUAUGUGUUGCUACAUUGGGAGGCCCAUCUAACUAGUAGAUAUAGAUGAUUAUUUAGAGCCCUAAAAGACGAUGGAAAGGCCAUCUUUGAUCCGUUUGAGCCUUUCUAGUCAUCCCUUUUAUUAAAUAUCCAUAGUUAACCCUUUUGAGCCUUUAAAAAAUAAAGAAAAAGAAAAUCCUUUUCUUUGUCAACUUAUCAUCUUGACCCACUCCAAUUUGGAAUAUUACCCGAUGUCUUAUAAGUUCCAUUACCUAUUUAUGUUUGAGAAAAUGUAAAUAAUUAUGUUGUUCAGUGAAGUUAUGCCAAAUAAAAGCAAAAAAACAAAACAAAAGUUGUUGUUUCAAAAGAAUAAAAAUAACAACAAUAGGUGAAAUCCACCUUGCAACUUCCAAAAAAAAAAAAAAUCCCUGCAUUUUUUUCUCAAACAUACACUUUGUUUUCCUUAUUUCCCUUCUUUGUUAACCAUGUCCAUAGCCUACGUUACGUCCUAAUAAAAGUCCUUCUUGAUUUUAGGGAACUAUAGUCUGAAGUAGAAGCUAGUUAUAUGGGCUAAAAAGAUGUAGUGGUGCAUAAUAAAAAUAAAUAAAUUAAAAAAAAGAUAAAUAAAUUGGGUUGACUAGCAUUUUUAUUUGACUUGAGAUCGUAUUAUUUCUAAGCUGAGGGCAUAUUUAUUUCAUCUUGGUGAGAGAAUGUGAUAUCACUUCUUUAUUAUUUUCUCUCUCAAUUACCAUUCAUUGGAGUGACUAUUUUUAUUGGUUUUAAUUUCUUUGUGAGAGUGUCACUACUUCCAGUGAGAUUUUGGGGUUUGACAUGUCAUUCUUGAAAGUAGCUAUAACAAAGUCUACUGGGCUGAUUCAUGUGGAUGGUUGAUGUGGGUGUGAUGUUGCUUUAGACUGGAGAUAAUGCUUAUACUUUUAUUUGAUUGCUAUCAUUAAUCUGAUGGAAUAAAUACGAGUGUUUCUAUUUAAAAAAAAAAAUUGAAUUUGAAUUUUGUUUUCGCUUUAUUUGCUAGGGACUAGCAAUAAGCUAGUUGGGGGGUGUGUUGAGUGUUAGAAAAUGCAUAUUUAUAAAGGAGAAAACCGUCAUUUGACAUUUCAAAUCUUACUAACAACCCUUACUUUUAUGUAUUUAACCUUCUUGUGAUUUAAUUACAUGUGUUUUAUUUUAAUUAAGUAUUUUAUGUAUUUUAGGGACAUUAUAGUCAUUUCACAAUAAAGGAGAGAUCAGACGGCAAAACGGAAAUCACUUUUGAACUCAGGACGGUCGAAAACCUUAGGAGGAGCAUAAAAGGAAAAAUGGCACUAUUCACAUGUACGGUACUAUUUACGUGUACGGUACUGUCUACAUUACUGUUCAAGACACUGUUCACAUAGACGGAUCGAUGAUGUGGCAUUGACUGAUGAGGUGUCACGAUCUUGUUGGGCUAAAAUUCUUAUGUACUGUUAAUGGUGACGUGACAGCAUAUCAGUGGACGAAAAAUCUCGCGUACGGUACAUGCAUCACACAGGAUUAUUUUCAACCAAACUGCAUUACUGUUCAUCCGGGUCAAACCGUGUUACUGUUCAUCCGCGUGGUCAAACCGCGUACUGUUGACUGAUGACGUGGCGCAAUCCUGAGCGUCCAAACUGUUUUUAAUCCGAUGGCCAUGAUUUACUCCAUGUAUCUAUAAAAAGGGGGCCUCUCCCCCCUAAUUUGAUACCUCUGAAUCCAUUUUUAGACUCCAUUUUCUGUAAUUCUCUCUCCAUCUUGUAUUUUCUUCGUAUUUUAAUAAAUUCCCAUUUUGCCCCUAGUUCAAUUAUGAGUGGCUAAUUUUCUUUCAAGCUUGGGUUGAAGGUGAAGUCUCAACAUGUGUCAUGGGCUUAAUUUGGUAAAUUUAUUUUCUCUUCCCCUCUAGUUUUUGUGGAUGUUUUGACUUCUCGUCGACAAAUAAUAUUAAUCUUGUCUAGUACCGCUUUGGUUUCACCGGCCCUCUAGUACAAGGUUAUUAUUAUUUGGCACGAUAAGCCCUUAGCACCAUAUUGAUUAGAGCGUGGUUCAUGAGGUGUGGAUUCCCCCCUCAUGAUUUAAUUGGCAUUAAUACGGAUUAUUUAGCCCAUGAUGCAUGUUGAUACGGAUCCAGAUACCCAAGUACGUCAUUUCAAUAGAAUUCUCUUCAAUUUACUCUUGUCAUUUCAAUUCCAAUUUUAGAAUUUAUUCUCGCCAUUUUAAUUUAAGUUUUAGCAUAUUCCAAAUCAUUUCCACCACAAAUCCAACCACCCAUUUACAAAACUAAUUCUACACAUAAUUAAAAUCCACCUCCUCGUGGGAUCGACACUCAUCACCAUUAGUCUAUACUACAAUAGAUUCGUGCGCUUGCGAGUACAUUAAAAUUUGCACAACAUAUAUACUUUGAAUGUAAGAAGCCUAGACACAUAAAAUCGAAAUGUCCUCUCCUCAACAAGGCAAAAAAGAAAGUUAUAGUGGCCACAUAGGAUGAUAGCGAUAAGGAGACCUCAGAUGAAGAGGAACUACAUGAAGUGUCAAACAUAAUACUUAUCGCAAUAGGAGAAGAACUUGAUGAGGUAAAUGCUAUUUCUUCUUAUGAUGAGUUGUUUAAAGCAUUUACUGAAUUGCAUAAUCACUUAAAGAAGGUAAGAAUGAAAAUGCUUCUCUUAAAAAGAAAAAUGUAAAACUUUCAAAUAAGAAUGAUACUUUGAAUGAAAAGAUUAAGUAAAACUUUCAAAUAAGAAUGAUACUUUGAAUGAAAAGAUUAAGUGCCUAUAAGUAGAAAACAAAAGUUUGUAUGAAGAAUUGCAUUCUUUAAAAAAAAAAUAAGAUGUUUCACUUAGAAAUGAAGGUUUACUUGUAAAUGAUUUGAAAAAGAAAAAUGAAACGCAUAAGAAAAAUAGUGAUGAGCAUAAUGAUAUUGUUUUAAAAUUUUAGGAAUGGGCAAAAAAUUUUAGAUAAUUUGCUUGACUCUUAAAAAUCUAUUUUUUAUAAAGGAGGUAUUUGCUAUAAGUCAAAUUUAAAACAAAAGUAUUACAAUAAUUACUUUGUUAAGACAACCUCUAUUAAGAUGACCAAAUUGUAUGUCAUUAUUGCAAUAGAAAUGGUCACAUGAGUUAUAGAUGUCCUUUUAAGAGAAAUACAUAUUACAGAAUCAAAUGUAUUUGGGUUCUAAAAAGAACCAUUACUAACGCUCAAGGACCCAAAACGUUUUGUGUACGUAGAACUUGAGAUUUCUUCUGCAGGGAUCAUAGAAGAUGAAGAACAAAUGGUGCUUGGACAACAGAUGCUCGAGACAUAUUAUAGGCAAUUACUCUUUGUCUUUUAGUUUUAUCAAGAUAAAAAAUGGUAGAGAAUUAUCCUUUGGAGAUAAUUCAAAAAACAAAUAUUAUUGGUAUUGGUAAUGUCGGUAAAAUUCCUUUACCUUUAUUGAAAAUGUAUGUUUAGUUGAAAAUUUGAAACACAAAUUAGUUAAUAUUAGUUAAUUGUGCGAUAAAGGCUGUAGAGUUAUUUUUAAUAAAAUAAAAUGUGUCAUUGAGAAUGUAUGUGAUAGCAAAAUUUUGUUUAUUAGAAAGAUGUGUUAAUGUAUAUGCCAUUACUAUAGAUUGCGCAUCAUCACAUGAUAAAUGUUUUUUCUACAUUACAUGAUGAUAGUUGAUUAUAAUAUAGAAGACUAGGUCAUGCAAGCAUGAAUGUGAUUUUAAAAAUUUUGAAAAAUAAUUUAGUUAAAGGUCUUCCAAAAAUUAGGUUUCAAAAAGAUAAAAUUUGUAAAACUUGUCAAAUUGGAAAACAAAUCAAAACCUCUUUCGAAAAAAAAAAUCAUAUUUCCACUUCAAAACCACUUCAACUUCUUCAUAUAGAUUUGUUUGAACCUUCUAGAUAUGUUAGUCUAAAUGGUAAAUAUUAUGCAUUUGUAAUUGUAGAUGAUUAUUCUAUAUACAUAUGGAUAUUGUUCUUUGCUAAUAAGGAUGAUAUCUUUGAUGAUUUCAAAAUUUUCUAUAAAAAAGGUUCAAAAUGAAAAAAAGGAUAUGUUAUUUCUUGCAUUACAACUUAUCAUGGUGGAGAAUUUAAAAAUCACGAUCUUAGAAAUUUUUGCAAUAACUUUGGCAUUGACCAUCAAUUCUCAUCACCAAGGACUCUAUAACAAAAUUGAGUAGUUGAGAGAAAGAAUAGGUUUCUUUAAUAAAUAGCUAGGACCAUGGUAAAUGAACAUGUUUUACCAAAAUAUUAUUAGGUCGAAGUCAUCAACACUGCUUAUUAUGUUUUAAAUCGUAUGUUGAUUAGACCUUACCCUAGUAAAAAUCCUUAUAAGCUUUGGAAAGAUAGAAAACCAAUAUUGGUUAUUUUAAAGUUUUUAGAUGCAAAUAUUUUAUAUCAAAUACAAAAGACAAUCCUGGUAAAUUUGAUCUAAAUAUGAUGUUGAUAUCUUUUUUUAGUAUUCAAAUACAAGAACCUUAGUUGUUGAAGAAUCCAAGCAUGUUAUGUUUGAUGAAUCUUGAUCCUUCCUUUAUGGGGAAAGUUGUUAAUGAUAAUGUAGAUAAAGAGUCACAAAAAGAAGAGUCUUCAAAAAACAAGAAAGAUGAUCUAAUAAAAACAAGCUAAUUAAGCAAAAUCAUAAUAAAGGUAAUUCUCAAACACUCCCCAAGGAGUGUAACUACUAGAUUAUCACUUAAAAAUACUUGUGAGCAUGCUGAAUUGAUAUCUCAAAUAGAACCAAAAUCAUUUUUUGAUGCUAGAAAUGAUGAAUCUUGGAUUAUGGCUAUGCAAGAAGAGUCAAAUCAAUUUGAGAGAAACAGUGUAUGGAAACUUAUUCUUAAACCAAAACAUAAAUCUGUAAUAGGCACUAAAUGGGUAUCUAGGAUCCUUCACAAGGUGUAACUACUAGAUCAUCACUUAGAAAUACUUGUGAGCUUACUGCAUUCAUAUCUCAAAUUGAACCAAAUCGCUUUCUGAUGCUGAAAAUGAUUACUCUUGGAUUAUGGUUUUGCAAGAAGAGUUAAAUCAAUUUAAGAGAAACAAUGUGUAUAAACUUAUUUUUAAACUAGAACAUCAAUUUGUAAUAAGCACUAAAUUGGUAUUUAAGAAUAAAAUGGAUGAAUUUGGUAUGGUUGUAAAGAAUAAAGCUAGACUAGUGGCUCAAGCGUACAACCAGGAAGAAAGAAUUGAUUUUGAUGAAACCUUUGCUCACAUAGCCAGAUUAGAAUCUAUUAGGAUCCUCUUAGCAUUUGCAUGUCAUAAGGAUUUCUUUUUAUAUCAAAUGGAUGUUAAGAGUGCUUUCUUGAAUGAUUAUAUUAUAAAAGAAGUUUAUGUAAAACAACCCCUGGUUUUGAA
rnacentral:lncRNA from 1 species